AGAGUUUGACCGUGGCUCAGGAUGAACGCUAGCGGCGCGCUUAAUGCAUGCAAGUCGAGCGAUGAGGCCCUUUCGAGGGCACAUCAGCGGCAGACGGGUGAGUAACACGUAGGUGACCUCCCCUUCAGUUGGGGAUAACGGGUGGAAACACUCGCUAAUACCCGAUGGACUCUUGGGGUCGCAGCCAAGAGGAAAGCAGUGAUGCGCUGAGGGAGGGGCCUGCGGCCCAUCAGCUAGUUGGUGCGGUAACAGCGCACCAAGGCAAAGACGGGUAGGGGGUGUGAGAGCAUGGCCCCCCACAAUGGGACUGAGACACGGCCCAUACUCCUACGGGAGGCAGCAGCAGGGAAUAUUGCGCAAUGGGCGAAAGCCUGACGCAGCGACGCCGCGUGGAUGAGGAAGGCCUUCGGGUUGUAAAAUCCUUUUCGGGGGGAAGAGAAUGGACGGUACCCUCGGAAAAAGCGUCGGCUAACUACGUGCCAGCAGCCGCGGUAAUACGUAGGACGCGAGCGUUAUCCGGAUUUACUGGGCGUAAAGCGUCUGUAGGCGGCUUUGUAAGUUGGGCGUGAAAGCUCCGGGCUUAACCCGGAGAGGCCGUUCAGUACUGCAGAGCUAGAGGGUGACAGAGGAGCGUGGAAUUUCCGGUGUAGCGGUAAAAUGCGCAGAUAUCGGGAGGAACACCAGUGGCGAAGGCGGCGCUCUGGGUCAUACCUGACGCUGAGAGACGAAAGCUAGGGGAGCAAACAGGAUUAGAGACCCUGGUAGUCCUAGCCUUAAACGAUGGAUGCUAGGUGUGGGGCUGAACAGGCUCUGUGCCGUAGCCAACGCGAUAAGCAUCCCGCCUGGGGAGUACGGCCGCAAGGUUAAAACUCAAACGAAUUGACGGGGACCCGCACAAGCAGCGGAGCGUGUGGUUUAAUUCGAUCUACACGAAGAACCUUACCUGGGUUUGACAUGCGCGUGGUAGUGAGCCGAAAGGUGAGCGACCCUUCGGGGAGCGUGCACAGGUGCUGCAUGGCUGUCGUUAGCUCGUGCCGUGAGGUGUCGGGUUAAGUCCCGUAACGAGCGCAACCCUUGCCCUUAGUUAUACGUAUCUAGGGGGACUGCCGGCGGGAAGCCGGAGGAAGGUGGGGAUGACGUCAAGUCAGCAUGGCCCUUAUGUCCAGGGCUACACACACGCUACAAUGGGCGGUACAACGGGCAGCUAAGCCGUGAGGCGGAGCGAAUCCCAUCAAGGCCGUUCGUAGUUCGGAUAGCAGGCUGCAACUCGCCUGCUUGAAGCUGGAGUUGCUAGUAACCGCGCAUCAGCCAUAGUGCGGUGAAUACGUUCCCGGGUCUUGUACACACCGCCCGUCACGUCAUGGGAGUUGGUAACGCCUGAAGCCGGUAGCCUGACCGCAAGGGGGGCGCUGUCGAAGGUGGGACUAGCGACUGGGACGAAGUCGUAACAAGGUA
rnacentral:rRNA from 1 species